GCGCCUACACAUGCAAGUCGAACGAAGUAGCAAUACUUAGUGGCAGACGGGUGAGUAACAUGUAGGUAUCUACCCUAUGGCCUGGAAUAACACGAGGAAACUUGUGCUAAUACUGGAUAAGUCUUUACGGAGAAAGCUUUAUGUACCAUUGGAUGAGCCUGCACUUGAUUAGUUUGUUGGUGGGGUAAUGGCCCACCAAGACUUAGAUCAAUAGCUGAUUUGAGAGGAUGAUCAGCCACAUUGGGACUGAGACACGGCCCAAACUCCUACGGGAGGCAGCAGUGGGGAAUCUUGCACAAUGGAGGAAACUCUGAUGCAGCGAUGCCGCGUGAGUGAAGAAGGCCUUUGGGUUGUAAAGCUCUUUCGUCGGGGAAGAAAAUGACUGUACCCGAAUAAGAAGGUCCGGCUAACUUCGUGCCAGCAGCCGCGGUAAUACGAAGGGACCUAGCGUAGUUCGGAAUUACUGGGCUUAAAGAGUUCGUAGGUGGUUAAAAAAGUUGGUUGUGAAAUCCCGAAGCUUAACUUCGGAACUGCAAUCAAAACUUUUUAGCUAGAGUAUGAUAGAGGAAAGCAGAAUUUCUAGUGUAGAGGUGAAAUUCGUAGAUAUUAGAAAGAAUACCAAUUGCGAAGGCAGCUUUCUGGAUCAUUACUGACGCUGAGGAACGAAAGCAUGGGUAGCGAAGAGGAUUAGAUACCCUCGUAGUCCAUGCCGUAAACGAUGUGUGUUAGACGUUGGAAAUUAUUUUCAGUGUCGCAGCGAAAGCAGUAAACACACCGCCUGGGGAGUACGACCGCAAGGUUAAAACUCAAAUGAAUUGACGGGGACCCGCACAAGUAGUGGAGCAUGUGGUUUAAUUCGAAGAUACGCGCAGAACCUUACCAACACUUGACAUGUUCGUCGCGCUCUAAGAGAUUAGAGCUUUCGGUUCGGCCGGACGAAACACAGGUGCUGCAUGGCUGUCGUCAGCUCGUGUCGUGAGAUGUUGGGUUAAGUCCCGCAACGAGCGCAACCCUCCACUUUUAGUUGCCAUCAUUUAGUUGGGGCACUCUGAAAGAACUGGCCGUGGAAAACUUU
rnacentral:rRNA from 1 species